CUUAUUUUAGUUUAUAUAAAACCAUACAUUUUCAUUGUAUAAAAGAAAUCAAUUCAAAUAAGU
rnacentral:tRNA from 1 species